AAAGAUUACUUUUAUAGAUUUUAAAUUUGAUUAUGGUUUAUGAAUUAUUAAAAUGAUAUUAUUUAAUUUUAAUUUAUUGUGUGGGCAAUAAAAAUUUACCCCGGCAAUUAAUUAUUUGUAUAAUACUUGUUCCAGAAUAAUCGGCUAGGCUUGUAAAAAUUUAAACUUUAUUUUGUUUUAAUCAUAAUUAUGGUGUUUAAGGUUUAAUAAUUAUAGGUUAAAUUUUAAUUAAUUUAUAGUAUAAAAUUAUGAUUUUAAGAUUUGAUAAUCGAAUUAGAUUAGUACCUAAUUAGACGAAAGUUAAAAAAGCAGUAGUAAAGUAGUAUUUAAACUGAAAAAAUAUUGGCAGAUUUUCUAAAUUAUCUUUGGAGGUUGAGUAAUAAUUGAGAACCCUCAUUAACUACUUAAAUAUUUGGUCUCAUGUAUGAUCGUUUAUUUUAUACUUAAGGUAUAUAAUAAAAAUUUUUUGUUUAUAAAAAUAGAUAUAUAUUUGGUUUAUAUAGAAGUAAAAUUUGACCUACAAUAUAUAGUUAUGUGGAUUUAUAUUUUAGUAUUAUAAUGAAAAUGUAAAAGACAGUAAAAAAAUUUUUAUGUUUUUUUGAAGAUUAUUUAGAUGUGGUACAAAUCAUCCAUCAAUUGCCUAAAGGGGAGUAAGUUGUAGUAAAGUAGAUUUAGGGGAACCUUAAUCUAGUAAAUU
rnacentral:ncRNA from 1 species